AGCCUACGGGACGCAGCAGUGGGGAAUAUUGCACAAUGGGGGAAACCCUGAUGCAGCAACGCCGCGUGAGUGAAGAAGGUUUUCGGAUUGUAAAGCUCUGUUAGCAGGGAAGAGGAAGGACGGUACCUGCAGAGGAAGCCACGGCUAACUACGUGCCAGCAGCCGCGGUAAUACGUAGGUGGCAAGCGUUAUCCGGAUUUAUUGGGUGUAAAGGGAGCGUAGACGGCUGAGCAAGUCUGAAGUGAAAGGCGGGGGCCCAACCCCCGGACUGCUUUGGAAACUGUAUAGCUAGAGUGCAGGAGAGG
rnacentral:rRNA from 1 species